GCCACUUUAGCUUAGUGGCAGAGCGUCUGCUCUGUAAGUAGAAGGUCGUCAGUUCGAUACUGGCAAGUGGCU
rfam:Perkinsus marinus ATCC 50983 gcontig_1104296199148, whole genome shotgun sequence.